rnacentral:rRNA from 1 species
AGUGAACGCUGGCGGUAGGCCUUACACAUGCAAGUCGAACGGCAGCACAGUAAGAGCUUGCUCUUACGGGUGGCGAGUGGCGGACGGGUGAGGAAUACAUCGGCAUCUACUUUUUCGUGGGGGAUAACGUAGGGAAACUUACGCUAAUACCGCAUACGACCUACGGGUGAAAGCAGGGGAUCUUCGGACCUUGCGCGAUUGAAUGAGCCGAUGUCGGAUUAGCUAGUUGGCGGGGUAAAGGCCCACCAAGGCGACGAUCCGUAGCUGGUCUGAGAGGAUGAUCAGCCACACUGGAACUGAGACACGGUCCAGACUCCUACGGGAGGCAGCAGUGGGGAAUAUUGGACAAUGGGCGCAAGCCUGAUCCAGCCAUGCCGCGUGGGUGAAGAAGGCCUUCGGGUUGUAAAGCCCUUUUGUUGGGAAAGAAAAGCAGCAGGCUAAUACCCCGCUGUUCUGACGGUACCCAAAGAAUAAGCACCGGCUAACUUCGUG